GACGAACGCUGGCGGCGUGCCUAAUACAUGCAAGUAGAACGCUGAAGAGAGGAGCUUGCUCUUCUUGGAUGAGUUGCGAACGGGUGAGUAACGCGUAGGUAACCUGCCUUGUAGCGGGGGAUAACUAUUGGAAACGAUAGCUAAUACCGCAUAACAAUGGAUGACCUAUGUCAUUUAUUUGAAAGGGGCAAAUGCUCCACUACAAGAUGGACCUGCGUUGUAUUAGCUAGUAGGUGAGGUAACGGCUCACCUAGGCGACGAUACAUAGCCGACCUGAGAGGGUGAUCGGCCACACUGGGACUGAGACACGGCCCAGACUCCUACGGGAGGCAGCAGUAGGGAAUCUUCGGCAAUGGGGGCAACCCUGACCGAGCAACGCCGCGUGAGUGAAGAAGGUUUUCGGAUCGUAAAGCUCUGUUGUAAGUCAAGAACGAGUGUGAGAGUGGAAAGUUCACACUGUGACGGUAGCUUACCAGAAAGGGACGGCUAACUACG
rnacentral:rRNA from 1 species